AUACGGAGGGUGCAAGCGUUAAUCGGAAUUACUGGGCGUAAAGGGCGCGUAGGCGGUCUAUCAAGUCAGGUGUGAAAUCCCACGGCUCAACCGUGGAGGUGCAUCUGAAACUGAUAGACUUGAGUAUGGGAGGGGAAAGUGGAAUUCCCGGUGUAGAGGUGAAAUUCGUAGAUAUCGGGAGGAACACCAGUGGCGAAGGCGACUUUCUGGACCAAUACUGACGCUGAGGCGCGAAAGCGUGGGGAGCAAACAGGAUUAGAUACCCUAGUAGUCC
rnacentral:rRNA from 1 species